rnacentral:tRNA from 1 species
GGAGUGGUUACGUGUUCGGCUGCUAACCAAAAGGUUGGUGGUUCGAACCUACCACCACUCCA